rnacentral:rRNA from 1 species
AGCGAACGCUGGCGGCAGGCCUAACACAUGCAAGUCGAACGGAUCCUUCGGGAUUAGUGGCGGACGGGUGAGUAACACGUGGGAACGUGCCCUUUGGUUCGGAACAACUCAGGGAAACUUGAGCUAAUACCGGAUGUGCCCUUCGGGGGAAAGAUUUAUCGCCAUUGGAGCUGCCCGCGUCUGAUUAGCUAGUUGGUGAGGUAACGGCCCACCAAGGCGACGAUCAGUAGCUGGUCUGAGAGGAUGAUCAGCCACACUGGGACUGAGACACGGCCCAGACUCCUACGGGAGGCAGCAGUGGGGGAUCUUGCGCAAUGGGCGAAAGCCUGACGGAGCCAUGCCGCGUGAAUGAUGAAGGUCUGAGGAUUGUAAAAUUCUUGCAGCGGGGACGAUAAUGACGGUACCCGCAGAAGAAGCUCCGGCUAACUUCGUG